rnacentral:rRNA from 1 species
UACGGAGGGUGCGAGCGUUGUCCGGAAUCACUGGGCGUAAAGGGCGCGUAGGCGGCCUGAUAAGUAGGGGGUGAAAUCCUGCGGCUUAACCGCAGGGCUGCCUUCUAAACUGUCAGGCUUGAGCACAGUAGAGGCAGGUGGAAUUCCCGGUGUAGCGGUGGAAUGCGUAGAGAUCGGGAAGAACAUCAGUGGCGAAGGCGGCCUGCUGGGCUGUUGCUGACGCUGAGGCGCGACAGCGUGAGGAGCAAACAGG